rnacentral:lncRNA from 1 species
UAAGUUAAGAUUCUAAAAUUAAACCGUAAAUACAAAUAAUACUAUAACAUAUGUUACUAAACCCUAAAACAAAGUCUUUUAGGAGUCUUCCAGACCAUAUAAUCAAAUAACUAAGAAAAAACACUUCCUUAAACUUAAAAGAAAUUUAGAAAGUGUUUUAAGUCAAGUAAUUAGAUAGUCACUAAACACAUAUAUGUCAAACUAAAAAUAAAAUAAAAAGAUAAUAUUUCAAAAUCU